GAUGAACGCUGGCGGCGUGCCUAAUACAUGCAAGUCGAGCGAACAGAUAAGGAGCUUGCUCCUUUGACGUUAGCGGCGGACGGGUGAGUAACACGUGGGUAACCUACCUAUAAGACUGGGAUAACUUCGGGAAACCGGAGCUAAUACCGGAUAACAUUUGGAACCGCAUGGUUCUAAAGUGAAAGAUGGUUUUGCUAUCACUUAUAGAUGGACCCGCGCCGUAUUAGCUAGUUGGUAAGGUAACGGCUUACCAAGGCAACGAUACGUAGCCGACCUGAGAGGGUGAUCGGCCACACUGGAACUGAGACACGGACCAGACUCCUACGGGAGGCAGCAGUAGGGAAUCUUCCGCAAUGGGCGAAAGCCUGACGGAGCAACGCCGCGUGAGUGAUGAAGGGUUUCGGCUCGUAAAACUCUGUUAUUAGGGAAGAACAAACGUGUAAGUAACUGUGCACGUCUUGACGGUACCUAAUCAGAAAGCCACGGCUAACUACGUG
rnacentral:rRNA from 1 species